rnacentral:lncRNA from 1 species
GGUUUCCUCCAAUUUCGUUGGUACCUGUCGAUUGCUCAAUAUGCAAGAAGUACCUCUCCAAUUGAACAAACUUUGGUUCUGUGUGGUGCACCCCGUCCAAUUUCUACAUCCUCAUUAAUUGUCAAACCUAGAUAGAGACAUUGUUCUCUUUGAUAUCUUCUUGUCUUCAAUGUUCACUUCUUUGCUUUUUCUACAUCUAUUGUUACGAAACCACAUUCCACAUUUCAACUUUUGCUCUAAUUAUUUUAAACCUUUUGACUAAUCGUUUCUCCCUAAUGAAGGCAAUUGGUGAUGUAGGCAAUCUGUUGUCCAUCUAGGAAUUCGUGAUAGGUGCUAAGACGAUGUGAACCGCAAGAGGUGGAACGAUGAGAGAGAGAGAGAGAGAGAGAGAGAGAAUGGGCACUUUCAUAAUGGGUAACAUAGGGGAGUAAACAUGGCUAACCUAGAGGAUAUUCACAAUAUGACCAUAAACUUUCCUUCCAUGAACGAGGAGUUUGAUGUUUUAUCUACGAAGGAAGUUUAUCUAAUAAUGAUCAUCGUGUUUGAAAGAAUGGAAGUGGGUAUAUUAAACAAGGUGCGGUAAUAGCUUUUUAAGGUGAGGAAGAGAAACUUAAACAACGAGAAAGAUAAAUAUGAAAAAAAAAAACAAAAAAAAAAACCUAAGCAUCAAGUUGAAACAUUUGAAAUUAGAAGAAAAUUGGGUUUAUUGAUGGGAAGACUCAAGAAUGAGUCUUAUUCAAAACUAGAUUCUUCAUGGGAUGUAAGCAAAUGAAAUCCGCACGCUUAAAGUUGAAGGAUUGAGAAAGGAGAAAGAGAGCUUGGGUUAAAUUUCAUGGAAAUAUUGUUACAACGAAUGUGUAUCACAAGAAUAAAGGAAGUCAAACUCCAUGUUAGAAAAAGGUUAAAAGAAGAAGACUUAUCAAAAGGAAAGGCUUAAACGAAUCUUUCUAAGCCAAACACAUAACCUAGUGCCGUUAGAGAUUCCAAAUGAUUGGUGUAAGGAAAAACUUGUUAUUACACCAUUAAAGGACCACAUGCAAAAUCAAUGUAUAUAUACCGCAAUCGUUGCGUCCCAACAGGAAAUAUGUCUCGAACCACCUCAAGUUUUUGCUAGGGUCUCAAAAUGCAACAAACAAAAACAUUGAGAAUGCAAGUUAAAUGCUCAGGACCCAUGUGGAUGUGAAAACUGCCAACUCUUCACAAGGGCCUUUUUCUUUAAGAGGAGAAAUACUAAUAUAGGGGUCUUGUAUGAAUUGGAGGUGAAUUCCAAAAUUCUAUGGCCAACAUAGCAACUUGGGAGUUAGGAUAAAAGGGCUUUAUUGUAUUAACUUAAGACAAAUUAUCAAUGUUAAAUUGUAAGCUCAUUUCACGCGUGUUGAGAAUUUAAGUCAAAUCAUAAGAAGUAUGAGCAACCUAAUAAAGGUUGAAAGUUGGUUGUGCCUGUCAAAAGCUGCUAAAUGUGUAGACAGGCGUACAAUUUAUUUCAUUUUACUUAUCUGGAGUGACGGAGAGUAACGAGGAAGAGUUAGAUUGCUGCUUCUGCUGCCAUAUUUUUUUUUUAAUUUAGAAUGUUUUAUAUUAUAUUCCUUUUAAAUGGCAUAAAUUAUAAUUACACUCCUCUAAAAACUUACAAUGAUUGGGUGGUUAACACUUUUACGUGAUAAAUUAAUGUUGGGCAGCAUAUGUCUAUUAUCCUUCAGGAAAGGGUGGACAUAUAGAGGUAGACUCUUUUGAGCAAAAUAUAUCUUUCUUAAAUAUUAGUUUGGCUGAUACGUAUCUCGUUAUCUCUAUAAAAAGUUUCUAUUGCUUGUCUUUGUAAUUUAUCUAAAACUCCUUGAGAUCCAACUAACAGACAUUGCUAUUGGCUUACAGCUGUGGAGUGGAUUUACUUCUGCUUUGCUAUCCUUUGAAUUGAUACUAAUUAUUAGUGUGCUUAUGCUUAAGCAAUUUACUUUACUCUGAGAAUGUAGUGAAACCCUUAACCCCCCAGAAAAAACAUGGUAUUGUUAGUAGUUCGCCAUGCUGGUUUAGUUAUUGACAAUGAGUACUGGAAUUGUUUUUUUAUGCUCAUCGUGCAGUGAGGUUGCAUCUAUCGGGUGUGAAACUACCCUAAUCAAAGUAUUGUUGAAACUGCUCUCUGCAGUCUUCAGAACUUGGAGUGCUGCCUUUGUCGUGUUCCCAUAUUUCUCGUAAAGUAUUACAAGCCUUAUAGCUUGCAUGUGCAAUUGAUUGCAGUUGUCCCUUAUACUGAGCAAGUGUCUUAAUGUGUACAAUCUUCGGUUUUUCUUUUAAGGAAAUGCUAGCUUGAAGGCCUGGCCUCUCUGGGAUUGUAUCGAUAUUGUUCACUGGAAUCGUAAGCAAUAAUGAUAGACAUUUUUUUACAGUGUGUUGCCCUAUCCUGUUGUGCAUUGUUGUAAUUGAGUUGGUUUGUUGUUAGUUUUAGGUAAUGAAGCACCACAAAAUUCUCAAUUUGUCAGACAAUUCUCAGCGAUUUGUUAUC